rnacentral:rRNA from 1 species
GGCAUGCCCAGUACGGCGAGUGAAGCGGCAAGAGCUCAAAUUUGAAAGCUGGCUCCUUCGGGGUCCGCAUUGUAAUUUGCAGAGGAUGCUUCGGGAGCGGUCCCCAUCUAAGUGCCCUGGAACGGGACGUCAUAGAGGGUGAGAAUCCCGUAUGGGAUGGGGUGUCCGCGCCCGUGUGAAGCUCCUUCGACGAGUCGAGUUGUUUGGGAAUGCAGCUCUAAAUGGGUGGUAAAUUUCAUCUAAAGCUAAAUAUUGGCCGGAGACCGAUAGCGCACAAGUAGAGUGAUCGAAAGAUGAAAAGCACUUUGAAAAGAGAGUUAAAAAGCACGUGAAAUUGUUGAAAGGGAAGCGCUUGCGACCAGACUCGCUCGCGGGGUUCAGCCGGCAUUCGUGCCGGUGUACUUCCCCGCGGGCGGGCCAGCGUCGGUUUGGGCGGUCGGUCAAAGGCCCUCGGAAGGUAACGCCCCCAGGGGCGUCUUAUAGCCGAGGGUGCAAUGCGACCUGCCUAGACCGAGGAACGCGCUUCGGCUCGGACGCUGGCAUAAUGGUCGUAAACGACCCGUCUU